CCUACGGGCGGCAGCAGUGAGGAAUAUUGGUCAAUGGACGAGAGUCUGAACCAGCCAAGUAGCGUGAAGGAUGAAUGCCCUAUGGGUUGUAAACUUCUUUUAUAUGGGAAUAAAAUGUUCCACGUGUGGGAUUUUGUAUGUACCAUAUGAAUAAGGAUCGGCGAACUCAGUGCCAGCAGCCGCGGUAAUACGGAGGAGCCGAGCGUUAUCCGGAUUUAUUGGGUUUAAAGUGAGCGUAGGUGGAUUGUUAAGUCAGUUGUGAAAGUUUGCGGCUCAACCGUAAAAUUGCAGUUGAAACUGGCAGUCUUGAGUACAGUAGAGGAGGGCGGAAUUCGUGGUGUAGCAGUGAAAUGCUUAGAUAUCACGAAGAACUCCGAUUGCGAAGGCGACUCACUGGACUGCAACUGACACUGAGGCUCGAAAGUGUGGGUAUCAAACAGGAUUAGAUACCCUUGUAGUC
rnacentral:rRNA from 1 species